GGAAAGGCCAGCCUGCAAAGAGCAGCUGCUGGUGCUUCAGAGGAAGGUGUGGGGCAUGUGGGUAGAGAGUGCUGGAGAGGAGGCAGCUGUGGCUGAAAAGGGGGGUCACUUCUGGCGGGCUUUGCUGCAAGGCAAGCUUUUGCAGAGUGUCAGCGCUGUUGUCCAAGCCUUGUAGAGGAUCUCCAGGUACCCCCAAAGCAGAUGGUGACUGAGUUUAGAGCAACUGGCUCAUGACCAGCCCCCAGCAAAAACAGCAAGCAAAUGGGAAAGUUGGACCAGAAUGAUCCUGUUGGCUACACAAUGCUGUCAUGAAGUAUCAGCAGGCUUGCAACUCCUCUUUGCUCACCUGUGAUCGAACUCAGUCACGUUGCGCAGCUGUUUCCGGUUGCUGCACCAUCACACAGACUUCAAGCCCGAUCAGUAAGAAGUCCAAGGCCUUGCAGUGGCACAGCACCAUGGUUUCUCCCUCUCUCUAGUGGGAGCUCUCGUAGAACUCCCACCUGAAGACACUACAUGCAUUUGGGAUACUACACUGCAUCCCAAAGCUAUGGCUCUAUCUUAUACUCUCAGGCUCCAGAAACGCUUUGGGAGAGAGGAUAGCAAAGCCUGGGGAGCACAGCAGCAGCUGCACCCAACCUUCAGCUGCUCAGAGGUCACUCUUGUAUGUGGUUUCUUUUCCUCCUGUGCAUGAGGCAAGCAAGUCAGCAUUUAGAAUGGGUUUAUACUACAAAAUUAACGGUAGUGAGGAGCAUUUGAGUAUAAACCUGACUGCUCGCCCCAAAAGUGUCUGUCUCAUCGCCAAGCGUUAUCCUGCCUAGGCAAACCUCCAAACUUUAUUAAAGCCUUGAGAUGUCAAAACAAGGCUUCUGCUGCGUUCCUUUUACAGGUACCUCCAUACACCGUCACCACAAAUGCAGACGCUGGCCUCAAGCCAGUUAGAGCUAGCAGCGCUGCCAGCAAAACAUCAUUCCCCCCAAGCAUUACCCAGCUUCUCAGGCAGGGUUGUGCUCUGCGGGGAUUUAUAUUGCUAUCAACUGUAGCACAACCUGAGCAACGGAGCUUAAAGCGAGGUGAGGGGUGCUCAUCACAACAACAGUCACUCGCCCAGGGUACACACUCAACAGCAGAGCUCAGCCACUUGGGAUCAUUACAGAAAAAGUUCAGGGCAUUUCUGGCAUGCCUAGACUUGUUCAUCCUGUUCUUCAGAGGCAUUUCAGCCCAGCCCAUAACACUUUGCCUCUUGUCCCCUGGCACCUCCCAACCCUGUCUUGCAGGUAGUGAUAGGUGCAAUCUUACCUUCGCCUAAAGCGCGGCAUCGCCCCAAGAAAUGCUCUUUCACUACAGCACUACCUGCAUCCCCACAGCAAGCAGAGAAGACCUCAAUGCCCCCACCCCAACCUGGGUGACAAAGGCGUGAAGCACACAGUAAGUGUCACUUUUGCAAGCCCUUCAAGCAACAAGCUGCAGUAUGAUCACUGACCUCACAAAGUGAGGCACAGACAGAGGCUUCAAGGAUACGGCUUGUAGGGUCUUCAAGCCAAACAGCCCAUGUCUUUUGGUAGUCCUGGGAAUACAACCACUUCUCAGCCCACCCUGGGAACAGAUAGCUCAAGCCACUAUCUGACAGAUAGCUCUUUCAGUCACCGGCGAACAAGCCUUGGCUCUUGAACCUCACUGUCAGCUCUGAGAAUGGCUCCUGUGUGAGUAAUACACUGUGCGACAGGAUGGGAAUGUGCUGCUACGAGGUCCGCUGUGUAACCUGGAUAAUCAGAUACGAGAGGAAGUAUGGCUGCAGGGACGAAUCCCUCUGGCUUGCCCUGAGAUCCUGCUCCACAUAUAGCCCCCUCCAGAGUGACAUGUUAGGAGCCCUGGGGAGCCAUUAUCACUAUCUGCCUAAAAUUCCCCGUUCCCAUGGCCUUCUUCAGUUUGAGAGACAGCCCUCAUGGCUCUAGCACAAAUUAAGAUUUUGGUAUGUGGCACAUACGUGCAGGAAUGCUGCCCGUCGCUGUUUUGCAUUACAAUAUGAGAGCUGCUUCCUUUAUAUUCAGCCUGAUCGAUACGUCCUCUGCAGAUGGACAACUCUAUUUCCCACUGGUUUCACUCUGUUGGUGACAGCCAAGGCAAGAUCACAAGCAACAUCAGGAAUGUAGGCAUCGAUCAGCGCGUCAGCUGUGAGGAAGCAGCAACUUGGCUGCUCUGUGGGGGAAGGUGAGCCUGGAGCUGGGGUGACUGCAAGGCAGGCACGGGGCAGCGGCCACACUGGCAAAGGCACAGAACCACAAGACGCGGGCAAGAAAAGAACAGGUCUGGUGAUGGUAACCAGGUUCAGCCAAGUGUCCUGGGAUUGCUGGGCAAGUCCGUGAUGAUGAGCCAGAUCCGAGGUGAAGACGGGGACUGAAGUCCACAGGCCAAGGCCCACAGAAACAGGGUACAUGGCACAGGCAUGGCUGCAACACAGCUGCGCGGUAGCCCAGGUGGGGACCAAGUGCAAGACCCUCAGCUUACAAGUGAACAGCAGGACAGGCCCUCGCUGAGGCUUUUUAGCAGAGCCUUCUCAAAGAGCUCUUACCUGCACGACUGUCUAAGUUAGCCCUGAGCCAGGGAGCCGAAUGCCCUGACACUAGCUACCACACUGUGUAAUGCUUCUCAAGGCAGGUAUAGAUGCCAGGGAUGAAUAUAAUCUGCUGCCAAUCUCCAGGCUCAAGCACCACACUACCGCAAAUGCCCAUGUUAAUAGCAGCGGGCAUUUUAGAGGAAAAGACCCUUACCAGACAUCCCAAGCUCUCCGCCUGGUUGGGAUAAGCCUGUGUUACAACUGGUGUUCGUACAGCAGUCUAAUCCUCUGUUCUGCUUCCUUGACCACCACCAACCCCUGCCCUAAUACGACCUGAGGCAAGCCAUGCAGUAGGAUCUGUGUUCUGUGGUUUCACCGAGUUGUGCCUCUGACUUUUUUUGCCCUCUUGCUUUUGAUCUGACAGCAAAUGCCACUCAAGGCUGGCUGCCAUUGCUUUUCCAUCACUGUGAGUUCUCUGUAACUCCGAGCUCUCGUUUCCCUGCCCGCCUGUGUAAGGCACCCUUUGCAGAGAUAAAGGCUGGGUACCACCAAUGCCACUUCCCCGGCUUUUCGGGAAGGUACAGGGCAGUGGCAGGAGGGAUGGUUUGUAGCGGUACAAACAAGCAGUGGUUUGUCACCCCUGAGACUUCUGCAGCAGUGAAGUUCUCCACUCUUAUAAAGAUCUUGCUCACGUGGAAAGGAUGUGGAAGGUUGCUGAAAAAAACAAAAAAGGGAAUGAAUAGAGAAGUUGCCAACUGCGUAAAAGUAACUGUGUUUUCGCAAACUGUGUUUGAAAUGGUGCUGGGGACAGAAAGCAGUGUGGUGCAUAGGAGGGAACCCUGCCUCGGCAGCAAUACGCGCGCACGCACACCUUCUUAUGCUAAAACAGUAUUCAUGAUUUCACUCUGGAGGGGGAGUACUAUAAGCCAAGCUGAACUUCUAACUGACUCCGGUGAUUCUGGUAGUUUCUGUAUAUUCACCCUGUUGUGAGUUGGACCUGAACCAGAUCCCACCUGCAUCUCUCUCGGGCGUUCAAAACCUACCUCUGGGAAAUGACAGGAAAGAUGAAAUGCUCAGCGUUUCUGCCAUCCUCACCAGUCCCUGAGCAGAAGAGGGGGCUACCAGCUACCAGGACCCUUUCUGGAGGCUUUUCUAGGACCAAGAUGAAGAUGUAUCAAGGUAGGGACGUGGGAGGGACAAGCUUAAUAAAAUAUACGGAGGGCUGUGCCACAGGCACUGAGACACAGCGAGGCUGCAGCGCGUUGGAAGGGACCGUCUCCAUUAGUGUGAAGAGAGAAGAUCCAACAACUGCAUUUAGCCUGUGGACAUCUUAAUGUCUCUGAAACCACUGGCCCACCUCCUCCCGCCGCCGUCCCAGCCUGGCGUGCAUCGCCAGUCGCCGCGCUGACACAAAGCUGUAAUUGCCAGCACGGGGACCGGGGCCGAGGGGAAUUCGCUGAGGCAGUCGGGCUCUCUGGCAGCCUGUCAGCUCCUAGGUCCGCAAUGGAAAUUAAUCACUGAAGCUCAAGGAAACACACCUUAAACAAAAACCCCACCGGCUAUGCUGAGGAGGCAAGGCAUGUCCAGCCUGUUGAAAUUACAUUGUAAUUAAAACUUAAUAAAAAGUGGCAUUUAUCGA